rnacentral:rRNA from 1 species
GCUCGUAGUUGGAUUUCUGGCAUGGGGUCACUGGCCCGGCAUCCUAGUGGUGCUGUGUUGUCGGCUGGCCUCUGCCUUCUUUUCGGAAAAACCAGUCUGCCCUUCACUGGGUUGGGCUGGCGAUUCCGAUCGUUUACUUUGAAAAAAUUAGAGUGUUCAAAGCAGGCUUAAUGCUGCGAAUACAUUAGCAUGGAAUAAUAAGAUAGGACUUUGGUCUUAUUUUGUUGGUUUCUAGGACUGAAGUAAUGAUUGAUAGGGAUAGUUGGGGGUGCUCGUAGUCAGGGGCCAGAGGUGAAAUUCUAUGAUUCCCUGAAGACGAACUUAUGCGAAAGCAUUCACCAAGGAUGUCUUCUUUAAUCAAGAACGAAAGUUGGGGGAUCGAAGACGAUCAGAUACCGUCGUAGUCUCAACCAUAAACGAUGCCGACUCGGGAUCGGUGGACGUUAUCUAAUGACUCCAUCGGCACCGUAUGAGAAGUCAUAAGUCUUUGGGUUCCGGGGGGAGUAUGGUCGCAAGGCUGAAACUUAAAGGAAUUGACGGAAGGGCACACCAGGAGUGGAGCCUGCGGCUUAAGUUGACCCAACACGGGAAAACUUACCAGGUCCAGACAUAGUGAGGAUUGACAGAUUGAAGAUCUUUCUUGAUCCUAUGGGUGGUGGUGCAUGGCCGUUCUUAGUUGGUGGAUUGAUCUGUCUGGUUAAUUCCGAUAACGAACGAGACCUCAGCCUGCUAAAUAGUGGACGUUCGGCUUCUGCCGAGCGGCAAUCGCUUCUUAGAGGGACUAUCGGUGUGU